GACGAACCGUGCGAACGUUGUUCGGAAUCACUGGGCUUAAAGGGCGCGUAGGCGGCUUGCCAAGUCAGGGGUGAAAUCCAGCAGCUUAACUGUUGAAGUGCCUUUGAUACUGGCGAGCUCGAGGGAGGUAGGGGUCUGUGGAACUUCUGGUGGAGCGGUGAAAUGCGUUGAUAUCAGAAGGAACGCCGGUGGCGAAAGCGACGGACUGGACCUCUUCUGACGCUGAGGCGCGAAAGCUAGGGGAGCAAACGGG
rnacentral:rRNA from 2 species